GGUGAUCACCUUGAAACAUCAGGAGCGAGUUCUGAUCAGAUCAAGAUGAAAGGCAAAUAAAGAGGAAGAGGAGAAAAAAAGGAGGCUGGGGAGUGAGGUGACACUUCUUAACAAGUGAGGACAGUCUCAACAGGACACACUAGAAAUCCUCUAAAGGCACUCUGCACACUGGACAACACGCCCGGAAAGAAUCCUUGAGCAAUUGGCAUGUGUUUGGAGAGGAUAGGAAGUGUGGAGGCAGAAGAGAGGAGAGCACAAUCUGUCCUCCUGUGUGCUCUCUGUGGAGCUGUGAGAGAGAAUUGCCAGAAAAUGUUUAAUUUCACAAGGGGAUUUAGCCCAUUCCGCCUCUGACAGCUCUCUUUGUUUUGUCGAUGUCUUUGUUCAACAGUAGCUGACAGAAAAUUCACUGAUUGCUUUAAAAAAUCUCAUUGUCCAUAACGAGUAUGGACGUACUAUAUCACACAUGAUCACCAGCAGGAUCCCUUAGUGACAGCUCAAGUCAUAGUUUAAUUUGAGAGAGUGAGGGUGGUAAAUGUUGCAGAAGUGCUACCUCAGGAGGGGAUGACAGACCAAAUUAAAUCCGUCUCUGUGUCGAUGUAUUUACGUCUUCUUACAAACAGGGACACAGCAGGAAUGAAUUUUCAGAGCGAAUCAGGUUUAUUGCUCAAAGGAACUCCACAUAUAAAGACAUGAAAACCUUAUGGGAUCAACACUGGUAUCUUUUACAUAUAUGUCGAAUAUAAAAACACCACAGAUUUCUACAUUUUGAGAACAUUUUAAAAUAUAAAUGUACAUGUAGGCUGCCAUUGUUGUAUACAAUGGAAUGCACUCUGUGUAGUGACGCCAUUCUUUUCCCCAUACACUUUCCCUGACCGGGUGUUGUCUGUUAACACUUUUUCAGAUGGCAGUGUCAGUGAAGAGGACAAUAAUGAAGAUGUUACUCUCAGUGUAGAUCAAAGUGAAUACAAUCAGAGAAGUGAGGAGGGGAGAGUGAGGCUAAUACGAUGGUGUCUGUACGACAACUGUUUGUCAAUGCUAAUUUUAGACUCUGGUCUGCCCAGUUUUAUAUCACGCCGUCCCCCCCCACCACCUUCUGUGCUUUGGGUCUGUGGUCUGUGGUCAUUAUUUCAUGUUUUUAAAGGCUACUGAAUGUGAAUGGGGCUCCAUGUUCAUUUGCAUAUGGGAGUGGGAAAGUGUGUUACCAGGUGACCACUGCAGACAUUUGGAGAUGCAUUGAUCUUGCCAGGUGUGAACAGCUGUGCUUACAGCUACAGUAUGCAGUUAUGAUCAGCCAGGAAAAAUUGCUGAUAACAGAUAUUCAACCUCUCUCUCUCAGUUUGCACUGACGAGCAGUUGUCGUGCAGACACCAUAGUAGCAGUCCGUCUCUCUAUUUUAUAAAUCUAGGGUGUUUUUUCAUAUCUCAUACAUUUAAAAGAUACCAGUGUUGAUCCAAUGAAGUCAGCAUAUCUUUAGCAUAUACAAUUAACCUGUGAUAGCAGCCUAAUCUUUCACAAUUUCCUGAAUUUAUGUCAUUCCCAGACCAUUUCUGCCUGGUGUCUUUGUAUAACAAUACUCUUGAGAGAUUACAUGAUCAUUUCUUUUACCAAUUUGACACAAUGUCUAAAGCUAUGGGAAAGUUUCAACUCUUUUAUUAUAAAAUCGCAUCUGUCUAUAUCCUUUUUGCAAUGAAAGGAAAAUCUGGGAAAUGGGGGAAAUUUGACCCAACACUCUGCAGAAUGACAGAUUGGAUGCUUGAGACAGAAAAUAAAUGAGCAGCAGAAAGAGAGUGAGGAGAAGUGUGGGAGAGAUGUGACUAAAGCACACAGAGAUAUGCUCCCCACACACUCACUAACAGGUUGAGAAAUAAAGGUUAUUAGUGUGGCUGAGGCACAGGUACUCAUAUUUGAAGCCUUCCUCUCUGCCUCGUCUAAUAAAAAACAAUAUUUGGCCUGCACUCCAAAUAAACAGCAUACUCCAGCACGAACUCUCUGUAUCAUCUACAACUAUCUAUUAAAAUCGAUUGAGGCACUGAAGUGAGAGAGAUAGGAGAUGGAGAGACAGCUCCUCUUCUUCUCUUUCUCUAAUUCGUACAAGAGAGUCAGGUCUAUCCAAAGAGACAAACUGACCUCCACUGUUUGUUGAAUCCUGGGGCUCAGUGAUGUCUUGUUCACACAGUAUGAUUUUUAAAUGACACCAAAGAUCAAACUGAUGAAUAGCAAGUUGCUGUUCCAGUUAUCCUCAGUUAUAGAACUCCAUCAUUAGUCUUAUAUUUCAGAAUUGAGUAACUCUUUAGAAUAAUAAUAAGCUAUCUCCAGUAAAUGAAGUAUAUCCUACCAAUUAAUAUCUGUUUUUUUAAGGCAUGGUCAAUUGCCCUCUUUUCCAAAAUCACUUUAUAUGAACUACAUCUCCACAUUUACACUCAUGCUAUUUUAUUUCAGUUUCCAUAAUCUGAAUGGGAAAUUCAUGUAGGAUAUAUUUUGACUGAGAAUACACUAUGUAAAAAGCUAUUCAAUUUUACCCUCAUAUUAAUAAUAUUAGCAUAUUAGGCUAAUAAAGCAUUAAAGGUUGUGUCAUUGGCAUGUCCACUAUACUUCUUGCAAACAAUCUUACAGUGCUAUGUUUCACAUUUUAAUGCAACGAAAGCCAUAUUAGUCAAUUAGCAGAAAAAUAUAUGGUUAUUAAGCAUCUGAAAUCCUAAUUGGCCACUCACUUCUGAUGGUCUGAUGAAAAGAAAGAGUGAGUGACAACAUGAGAUGAUGGUUUUAAACACAAUAAAGUCAAACCAAGUGUUUGCAAUCAGGCGACCCCGCUCUGACAUAACUGGUUAUAGGUGUGGCAGGGAUAACAACAUUCGAAGUUUAAGCAGGGAACAGCUUGUGUUAAAUAUGAGUCAAACUACCAGUAUAGAAAAAAGUGUUUUCUACUUUUUAAUCACUGUGAUGCUAUUGCACUGUUAAUUCACUGAAAGGAGGGGUGAUUAAUCAUGAAAAUAUCGGUGAGCUCAGUGGCCUCAGCAAAGCAAUUACCUCUGCCAUGAUGAUUAAAAAAAAGUAUGAAAUAUAUUGAUGUCUUCUAUUGUAUAUGAUUCUAAUGCUUUAUUGAAACUCUUAUAUUAAAGCUCACUGCUACUUUAAUUAUGUCA